AAAGAUCGCAGCCUUCGGCAGCUCCUGCGGGGGGGAAUGGUAUCUACCCUGUAGGAGCUGCCGAAGGCUGCGAUCUUU
rnacentral:misc_RNA from 1 species